rnacentral:SRP_RNA from 1 species
GCCAGGCGUGGUGGCGGGCGCCUGUAGUCCCAGCUACUCGGGAGGCUGAGGCAGGAGAAUUGCUUGAACCCAGGAGGCGGAGCUUGCAGUGAGCCGAGAUCGCGCCACUGCACUCCAGCCUGGGCAACAGAGCAAGACUCUGUCUCAA